rnacentral:misc_RNA from 1 species
GAUGAAGAACGCAGUGAAAUGCGAUAAGUAGUGUGAAUUGCAGAAUUUAGUGAAUCAUCGAAUCUUUGAACGCACAUUGCGCCCUUUGGUAUUCCUUAGGGCAUGCCUGUUCGAGCGUCAUUUAAACCUUCAAGCUCAGCUUGGUGUUGGGUGACUGUCCGCCGCCUCCGGGCGGUCGGACUCGCCUCAAAUUGAUUGGCGGCCGGUACUUUGGCUUCGAGCGCAGCAGAAACGCGAACUCGAGGCCGUCGUCCUGGCUCCCAGAAGCUAUCUUCACAAUUUUGACCUCGGAUCAGGUAGGGAUACCCGCUGAACUUAAGCAUAUCAAUAAGCGGAGGA